GUGCAGGUGGGAAGGUACCUGCUGGCCCGGCACUCACCUUUGUUGUUGCAUGCAAUCCACUUCAUGCGGUCAGCAAAAGACACUUCUCUCCCAAUGAGGUGCCAUGGGAAUAAGCAAAAAGGGCCACAGAAACAGUCUACAGAGACAACCGCCCACCAUCCAGACAAGAGCAGGGGCUUGGAAGUCUCAGGCCACCGUGGACACUCACCUCUCGAUUGUCUCGGUCCGCCUGGACGAGGAUCCCUUUAAAACAAGGCUCGAUGUAAUGGACGUAGUCAUUGUACUGCAGUUGCAGGUGUCCAAGAUGGUGGUGAUGGUGUGCUUGGCAAUAGUCAUCCUCAGCCCCUUCAUACUGCCGCUCACGUCCACCAAAAUCACUAUGUCCUUGGGAGAAGUAGCAGCUUGAAUGUACCUGAAGGAAGAAAGGGACAUGCCCAAGAUGGGAAAACCAAAGCCGGAACCAAUACCUGACCAAGGGGUCUGCAGUUAUUUCUGUUCAGAUGCUGGCUCGAGCCCACCCAAAGUUCAGGGCAACCCAUCUAUGCCAGGUUUCACAUGUUCCAUAACCACUUGACACAGUGCUGAAGCCAUCUGGGGUGGCAGUGGUUGGGGAUGUGCCACCUAACAGGCCAGGUCAAGCCCUGGAGGUAACGCUUGUUCCUUUUGAUUUAGACCAACCGGGGUCCCUGAGGGGCUGGCAGCAGAAAGGGAGAGAGCUGGGCUUCAGAUUCUGUUACCAACUUGCCACAAAAGGGGUGUGGAAGGAGAGGAGAGCCUAACAAAAGGUUGACGUGGAGACAGCUCAGUGUCCUGGCAGGAGGUUUAGGUUGGGAAAGACAAACAUGAUCAGUCCUGGAGCAAGGCAAUUGUAGAGGGAAGGGAGGAAUGCUGGCCCUCUUCCUGCUCUUGUGUCGGGCUAGGGUUCUACACACCCAAGGCCCUUGAGUGGCGGUGGGGGAAGGGGCGGAAGUGGAGGAGGAUGAGGCAAAACCCAAAAGCUAUGAGAUAAAUACCCGGGCCGCAAACCUUUCCCCUGUGAGCUCUUACCAGCCGCGGUUUCGGCAGUCAAAAGUAAUGACUCCAUUCUCAUCAGGUGUCCAUUUUAUACCUGGGAGAAUAAAGACUCGUUCUUUUACUAGCUUGGUGAGGCCACCCCAGAUCCCCUGGCUGGGUGUGGACCCCCAAGAUGGCCAUGAUCCCCAGGGCAGAACAGCUUUGGAGCUAGGGAACAGGGUGGGGAACACUGGGACAUGCCCUGUAGACUGAGACAAGCUGGCAAGGAGACAUCUACCAGCCAAACUGCCCAGAUGCAGAGCUGGGGGUAAUUUCACAGGUAGGACCACAUAGGUGGUGCCUGGGACUCAUUUGUGAGGCAAAACCUCAUAUCAAAUAGUGGAGGGGGAAGCUUUGGAGAAGUGUGACUUUUAACAUCCAUUACCAUCCAGCAAAGUGUGGACAAAAUGUUGAAAAAGGCAAGUGCUCUGACUUCUAACACACUUGCCUCUAGGUGUUAAGCUCAUUAGCACUCAGGAUCCUUCCUGUUGGCUGGGAUGGGAGAAAUGAUUUGGCUCUAUGACUGUAGGCUCUUUGAGGUCAGGGAUUCCUAGAACCCAGCAGAGUAUAUGCUUAAUAAAUGUCUGUUACUUGAAUGAAAGGACAAAUGAAUGGAUAUGAAAGAUCUUGCGUUGACCCAGUAGCAGAAUGCUGGUGUAGAUUUUUAUCCUAUCCACCUAAUAAAAAAAUUUGUAUAGAUGCACAGAAAACACUGACAUGAUCCACAAUAGAAUCUCGAUUUGAAAAGACUUUAUGAUUGGGAAUAGUGGGUUUAAAAGAAGAAGAGUAAAAAUAACAGGUGGAAUUGCAAUAUGUUGUGAUUGGGAUAGACAAAAUGAUUGUAGCAGUAUUAUGAAUGUCUAGAAGCUCCAAGGGCCCUUCCUCCUCCACAGUGGUUAGACUUCAGAUGACAUACACCCUUUGAGGCAUUGCUGGCAUCUCAAAGGUAGGAGAGGUUGUCAGAGACCAUGAUCUCAAAACCAAACAAAUGAGAACAGAGCCCCAGGCGUGAGGCAUAUGUGUGAGGUCAGCUAGCACCCAAAGCCUUGAAGGUGGGAAGCAGAGCCAUGGGAGUGUGGUGUGAUGGGAGCUUGAGUACCACUGGUCUGACCUAGUCUUGCAGGCAGUCAUGGGAGGUAGGGCUUUCCUGAGGCCACAUUCUUACAGCAACAUGGUCAUGGGGAAUUUGAUCCUUAGAACAGCAAUGAGGAGGAGAAGCUGAGUCUGAGAUUACUGGCUCUUAACCAAAAUCUUCGAAGAGGACUUUGGAGGUCCUGGAUGAGGGUACCCUCAAGUCCAAGCGGAAACAGAAGCGAAUUUUCUUGUGGAUUCCCAACUCAGACCCACUGGACUCUGAAGAGGACAAGCAGCAUGGCCUCACAAGCAAAGAUUCCCAAAUACAUAAGGAGCAGACCCCUAUUAGUGGGAGGCAGCAGACUCAAGAGCUACCUCAAGAGCUGGAUAUAGCUUCUCAAGAAUUACAGAUGUUGGAAUGGCCAAAUACCAAACACAAACUAGGUAGGUAUGAGAAGAACACAUAAUACAAAGAACAUACAAGAAAUGACCAGGAAUGAAGAAACAGCCUUGCAAAUAUGAAGCUUUCGGAGAUGAAAAAAUGUAUAGGUUGAAAAAAAUAAAUUAAAUGGAUAGUGCUUUAUUCAUGGGUAAAAAGAAAAUGCAUACAUUUGUGGAUGUAUCCAGAGUUCUACUGAGGCUGGAAUGAGAAGGUUUAAUACACAUCUGAUUGGAGUCACAGAAAGAGAAAAGGGAGAGCAUGGAGGAAAGGUGAUGGUUGAAGAGAUGAUACUGGCAAAUAUUCUAGAACUGAUUAAAAAUCCAAUUCCACAGAUCUAGGAAGCACAGCGUAUCCCAAACAGCAUGAAUAAAAAGAUAUCCACAUAUAGACACAUAGUAUUGGAACUGCAGAACUUCGAAGGCAAAUAAAUAAAUAAACAAAUACCACGAAGGCAGCCAGAAAGCCCACGACACCUACAAAGGAAGAGCAGUUAAACUGGUAGAUUUUCCCAACAUCAAUGAAAGCCAGAAGACAGUGGAUAAACAGUUUUAAGAUGUUGAGAGAAUAGAAUUAUUGAUUUAGAAUUGCAUUGUCAGCAAAACUAUCAUUCAAGAAUGAGGAUAAAAGGAAACAUUUGUAGAUAAACACAAUCUAAAGCAGUUUAUACUGAAGUCCCCACUGUAAAGGAACUUCUGGAGGACUUACUUUAAGAAGAAGGGGAAUGAUAUGGGAAAAACAUCCUCACAUGCAUGAGGGAAUGGUGAACAAAUAAAAUGGUAAAUAAGUCAUUAAUUCCAAGUAAGUGAUGUUUAUAUCAAAUAACAAUACUUGUGUGUCUGAUUUGUGGGGAUGAAAAAUUUGAAAUAUUGACAAUAGAAUGGAAGUCUAGAAUAAAGAGAUGGAAGCACAAAAGUUCUAAAGGCCUUUGUUGACUGAGUAGAGAGCAAAAAUAUUAUUUAAUUUUAAUUUUUUAUUUUUAGAGAUGGGAUCCUGCUAUAUUGCCCAGGAUGGUCCUGAACUCCUGGGCAAGGGAACCUCCUGCCUCAGCCGCCCCCCCCAGUAGCUGGAACUAUAGGUACAAACCAAGUUCCCAGCUUAAUUUUAAAAUGUUAUUGUAUUAAAUAUGCCUGAUAAGACUUCAGGGGUAAUAACUGAAAGAAUAAAAACAAGGGGACAAGUUCUAAAGUGCUAGAGAGAAAAAAAGUUAUAUUGGGGAAAUUUAUUUUUUAAAUGUUAAGUAUUUAAAAAGGAAAAAAGGAGAAAAAGAAAAUAUAAAAA